AAAGGCUAUACGAGGGAGACUGACACUUCGCUUCUUCGUGGUCAAGAGCUGAAUGAGCCAGGUUUUAUUUUGAUCUUGUCCAUCUUCCAUAGGGACAGCAAUACAGGGGGCCUCACUCUCUUAUGGUAAACACUGCUGCCAGUGACCCAUUAUACUUUGUUAUGCAACUACGGAAAUUCACACAAACAAUUAAAUCCAAAAGCAGAGGACGUGUCGCUCGCUGAAACUGGGUAACCUGCCGGAGAGGAGCUUUUUCCAUGAAGCUGCUGAUCUGACUAGAGAGUUUGAAUGGCGUGAUCAGUUUCUUCAUGGGAAACAACAAACGGUAACAACGACCACAUGCAGAUUUUACCAUUGUGUAAACAUUUUGGAAAAUGAAAGCAAGCAAAGCAACUCGCAACAUGAAUAGUUCGGUUCAGUCUGGAACAAUUUAGAGGUGAAGGCAAUGUUGCACAGGAAGCAUAAAUUAGUUAAUCAACAAAGAAACUAAAUGCGCCUUCCAUGUACAAAAAUACACCAGCAGAGUCCAAGGUGCAGCACCCACACCAAAAAAACUGCCGCAAAGCUGGAAUCAAUCUGUCAAUAAAUUACGGGGUCAGAUUAAAUCAAGAUGUUUGCAGUGGAUGUGGUCAAAGAUUAAGUGUGUGGAACCGAAUGCGAACAGCUAACACGAAGCACAUUACAAGAUCGCCGUUACGUUUGUUUGUGAAUGAUUCAUCCGAGUGUCGGGACAUUCGUUUGCAAAUGGUCAACGGAUACAGCCAGAUACAAAGCCGGACAUCUUCGCGAGGAAUGGACAAUUUAAAGUGAAAGAACGCUUCAUAAAUCAGUAAUCGGAGUCUGCCUGCACUGCUCCACGUUGACGAUCCUAAAGCGAGAUUGGGCUACGAGAACAUGUUCGUCAUGCUCACGUAGGUUCCUCGCUGGGCUUGGCUCAGACUACGAACAGGUGCACUGAAGACAGGCUGACAGCAACAGCCACCACUCUGGAAGUUUGAAAGCUAGACCGAGGACAGUUAAGAAUGACAUGCUGAGCCAGGGGGACACGGAGACGCACACAACCAACUGUCACCGACAGUUGAAGAAAAAAAUAGAUACUCUUCAAAGCCCAAGGCAUUACCAAAAUUCUAUGAGUCAACUAGUCAAACUAAACAAACAAAAAAAUCCUAUUUGAUUGCAAUAAAGAGAAAAGAAUGUCCUCAGGCACAUCUAGAA